rnacentral:miRNA from 1 species
CCCUCUGGGCUGCACCUUGCUUGCUGACCCCUGUCUGCCUAUCCCCAUUUUACAGAUGAGGAAAGGCAGACAGGGGUCAGCAAGCAAGGUGCAGCCCAGAGG